ACCAAUAAAUAAUGUUUAUUAUAUAUCAACUUUAUUAUAUAUCAACUUUUAACCUUUAGACUAAUAUUAUUUCACUUGCCCCACUAGAUUUUCGACAUCUACUAAGGCUUUGUUUGGGAUUGCGGGGAGAUUGCGUUACGUGCGGUUAUAAACGACGAUGGAAAAAUAUCCUGAUUGUUUCCGUAUGUAAUAUUGCGUUCUGCAUAUUGCGGUUAGUCGGUUACGAUAUAUUUUCUGUGGUCUCAUCGGAAAACGUAGAACAGACCUUAAUACCAAACUAAGCUUAAAGACUAAAAAGUAGAUAGUUUAUAUAUUUUGAGUUACCUUUUGAGUAUA
rnacentral:lncRNA from 1 species